UACGGAGGGGGCAAGCGUUGUUCGGAAUUACUGGGCAUAAAGGGCGCGUAGGCGGUCUGUCGCGUCAGGUGUGAAAGCCCCGGGCUCAACCUGGGAGGUGCACUUAAUACGGGCAGGCUGGAGUCCGAGAGAGGUGAGUGGAAUUCCCAGUGUAGAGGUGAAAUUCGUAGAUAUUGGGAAGAACACCAGUGGCGAAGGCGGCUCACUGGCUCGGAACUGACGCUGAGGCGCGAAAGCGUGGGGAGCAAACAGG
rnacentral:misc_RNA from 1 species